CACAAGCGGUGGAGCAUGUGGUUAAUUCGAAGCAACGCGAAGAACCUUACCAGGUCUUGACAUCCCGAUGCUAUUUCUAGAGAUAGAAAGUUACUUCGGUACAUCGGUGACAGGUGGUGCAUGGUUGUCGUCAACUCGUGCCGUGAGGUGUUGGGUUAAGUCCCGCAACGAGCGCAACCCCCGCCGUUAGUCGCCAGCGGUUCGGCCGGGCACUCUAACGGGACUGCCCGCGAAAGCGGGAGGAAGGAGGGGACGACGUCUGGUCAGCAUGGCCCUUACGGCCUGGGCGACACACGUGCUACAAUGCCCACUACAAAGCGAUGCCACCCGGCAACGGGGAGCUAAUCGCAAAAAGGUGGGCCCAGUUCGGAUUGGGGUCUGCAACCCGACCCCAUGAAGCCGGAAUCGCUAGUAAUCGCGGAUCAGCACGCCGCGGUGAAUACGUUCCCGGGCCUU
rnacentral:rRNA from 1 species